ensembl:lncRNA
UACACGUUUCCAAGGAAACGGAACUAACCGCCAUGAAUCAUAACAAGAUUGUGUUUGCUUUUCCUCAGCAGAGUGGUAAGUGUUGUCAAAACUUUAACCACGGAUCAUUAUUUUAGUGCGUCGCAGACUCUGUUACAAGUCGUUCAUCAAUUAGCAAGCAACGAAAUUCAUUUGUUGCAAACCCGAACCCCGUGAUGGCAGAUAUUUUAACACGGAAGGGAAACCACGAGUGUAAUUAAUGAAGUUGACGAGGGCUGCAAUCCAUUUGGCUUCCGUUUGGUGGACUUUGGCUGACUGACUGCAUCAACGGAGCCUCUGCUCCGUUGAUGCAGUCCGCGGUUUUCCUGCUGCAAUGAGCGCUUAGCGUAUCUGCCACGAAAAGGGCCAAUUCACUAUCACACACUGCUGUGAAAAUGACAAGCACCACCUUCCUCCUGCCUGUGGUCCGUCCCGCUCAGCACCGGCUCUGGAGUCGCAUGGAGCCGACACCGUCAGAGUGACAGCGACGGGGGCUUUUUCACCAUCACCCCCCCCCCUCCUGACCUCCACCUCCUGUGUGGUGUGAAGGCAUUGUGGUUGUAAUUGCCUUCAGGACUGGCUUACAGUCUCAGGACCGGGGGAUCUCUCAGCUGUGAUCGGAUAAGCCUAUUACAUACUAGUUGCGUGAAGACGCACGAUCCCGCGUGGAUGAAAAGCCCGAGUGUCGGAGCCAAUUUGUGCCAGUUGCUUUGGCGUUUCCGCAUCCAGUCUUCAGCUGAAAUAAAGUGUCUUUUGUUCUGUGGAUCAUUAACACAGUAGACAAUUCAACAGAGGCUUUUUAGAAACUCCGUUGUGUUACCUCGUUAUGUGAUGGUUAGAUAUGUUACAAUACCCUCCCCCCGAUGUUCAUUAACGGAAGCGGAACCCGUUAUUUUGUGGUACAGCACACGGGCUCUUGUGUGAGCCGAUGCACAGUUAAGUGCGGAGGCCACAUCCAGAGCCUAUUAAAGAAGCUGCCGAUUUAACUACUUCUCCCAGCGAUGUUAGGGAGAGCUAGCAAGGUUACAAGUUCAUUAAAUACAUUAAAUCUGGCUUUUAAACAUCCCAUAAUCCAAAGAGCUGUGAGGGGUGACCUUGUUAAUGAAAAGUAUCUUGACACACGUACACUUUAGUCCAGUGGUAGAAAAUUAGUUUGUUCCUCUCAACCUGAUUCUUUUCUUCUAUUUCUAUAGCUGAUUUUUUAUUUUUCUACAACAGAUGAAGGCUCUUUGGGGACCUAAUGUAUCCUUCUAUUGGAACGCAGGAGGAUGUGCUUCCUUCUGCCGUGUGGAACCACGUCGAGGUAGUUUAAGUAGCCCGAUGGUCGUAUCCACUUAAGAUGCUUGAAUGCUCUAUCAAAACAUUUUGUUCUGUUGCCACAACAACACCGACGUGAACAAGCAGCAAGAAAAUGAAUGAAUG